rnacentral:lncRNA from 1 species
GUAGCUGAACAUCUUACGGAUGGCCCAGGGCUCCAAAGGCUCGUUUCCUAAGUGAGAGAGAGCCUGGCUGAAGCUGUAUUACCAUUCAUUCUCCAGCCUCCGAAGUCUCAAAGCAUCACUUCCACCAUACUCUAACUGUCAAGACAAACACAAAGGCCCAGAAACUGCCAGACUGUCUUCUGAAGUGGCUAUAAUAUUUACACUCCCAUCAGCAGUGUAGAAGGGGUCUCACUAUGUUGUCUGGAGUGCUGUGGUGGAGUGGAGUGGCUAUUCACAGCUGAGUUUGCAGAGUAAACCACUACCCUGAAAUCUGGAAAGGCAGGUGCACCCACAGAUCCUCAGCUGAGAUCCAAUUACCUGAAAUAGAAGCUGCCAUUAGGAACACUUAAAAGAGCCUGUUCUGCUGGGACACAGAAUCACUUGCUCCAUCUCAUACAUUGAUGAUGAUUAAUUUGUAUGUGUACCUUCCAAAAAAGAUGGUUGUGUUUGAAUGGAGGCCUUCUGGACAGGAAAAUUGCAAAGUACAAUUAACAUUUGAGUCUGUCUGAGUCAUGAAGAAAUGGAGAUUACUGAAAAUAAUUCAUUUUGGUAUCUUCUUACAUCCUGAGAGACUAAUCUUUCCAAGUUCAUCUGAGGCUCCUCUUCUCCAUGACAACCUCAUCCAGGGAUUUCUUCCUGUCCUGGUGUUUUAUGACAUGUGGAAGGGGACUGUAGCAGGUGAUCUCCAAAGUCUCUGGAGACUUACUAAUGUGCAUCCUCAUCUCGCUUGUAAGGAUAAUAGCCUUCCUCCAAACCUCACACACUUUUGGAGGAGAUCACUUUUUUUAAAGUGCAUGGAAAUGUUUUGAAACAGUGAAAUCUAUAAUGAUAGGUUUCAUAAUUCUAACAUCCACACCAUAUGAAUCACAUCCUUCCUGAGAUAAUGAGCACACAAUUGCCUGGAUACCUGAAGGAAUGGAGACAGCGGCAGAAAACACUGCAGAGAGGUGGAAACAUCCGUUAAUAUUUUAAAAUCCCAUUACUGCUACCAACAAUAAUAAUGGAUGCAUAGAAAUAGAUCUGGAUUAGCUGAGCUUGAAACAGUCCAUCUCACACACACACAAAAGAAUUUCAGGUAAUGAAGAAAAGAAAAGGAAAAAAAUAA